UCUCUUUGGACUUUGAAGCGUGAUCUGGUGAUUUUUAGCUCCGCAGCUAAACCUCGAAUAAACCCUCAAUCCUCAGAACCCUUUCCCAGAUUUCCUUCCUCUCUAUCUCUCUCUGCAGCUUCUAGCAUGGCCUCCUCUUGUCACCGAUUCAUCAGCAGAUCAUCUCUAUCGUCCAUUAAAUCCGCUAUCAGAUCUAACGCUCCAAAAUCUCCGAUUACUAGAUCUCCCACUUCUCCCUCUCUCUCGGCCUCUCCUCGUUUACCUUCCUCUUCCCUUCCUCGCCGCUUUUCCUUCUCAUCCAGGUCUCCGUCUGAGCUAGGAUGCGUGCAGUCGUUGCUGCCGCUACACAGUGUCGUGGCGGUGGCGAGGAUGACUUCAUGCUUGAGUACGACAUCGAGGAGUUGCCGAGCGCUCUCACAGGGUACACUCUGCUGCACCUCUCCCGGCCUCUAAUAGCUUUUAUUACUAUGUUUUAGAGUGCACAUAAUUUGAAAGAAAUAAAUUCAGGACCCGUCAAUUAUGGCCAACUGCAUCUUUAUCAAAUGGAGUUGAUGGUACGUGAAACAUGUGUGCUGUUUUUGGAGAGCUUGGCCUGUCAGUUCCAAGGUGACUUGUUUGGAAAGAAUCAAUAUGAUAUGGGAGAACAUCUUCACAUGAAUGGAGAAGCAAAGCCUAGUAGCUUUUCAUUUUUUGAAGAGUUUUUGUCAAUCUAUAAAAUGCUGCUGAACCUUCAAAGCAGUAGAGCUGAUUUUGAUUCUCCAUAACACACAGGAUAAUUUUCUUCUGAGAUGUAGCAUUAAAUGCUAUUGUUUAACACCAUCAGUGUAUGCUCGAUUGGAUAAAUGCUUUAAAUAUUAUUUUCUAGUAUCUUUCCCUAA